CCUGGCGGCUGUAGCGCGGUGGUCCCACCUGACCCCAUGCCGAACUCAGAAGUGAAACGCCGUAGCGCCGAUGGUAGUGUGGGGUCUCCCCAUGUGAGAGUAGGGAACUG
rnacentral:rRNA from 1 species